rnacentral:rRNA from 1 species
ACCAGAUAAGACAGCUGAAUGAUAGUCGGGCUGAAGACUCGUACUUGACUAGCUGAGAGAGUGCAUGGCCGUCGUCAGUUCGUACUGUGAAGCAUCCUGUUAAGUCAGGCAACGAGCGAGACCCACGCCCACAGUUGCCAGCGUACUCUCCGGAGUGACGGGUACACUGUGGGGACCGCCGCUGCUAAAGCGGAGGAAGGAAUGGGCAACGGUAGGUCAGUAUGCCCCGAAUAUCCCGGGCUACACGCGAGCUACAAUGGUUGGUACAAUGGGUAUCUACCCCGAAAGGGGACGGGAAUCUCCUAAAACCAAUCUUAGUUCGGAUUGAGGGCUGCAACUCGCCCUCAUGAAGCUGGAAUCCGUAGUAAUCGCGUUUCAACAGAACGCGGUGAAUACGUCCCUGCUCCUU